ACUUGGACCGGCGGCCGCCUCGGGUCUCUUUUCCUUCUGCGUCCCUUUUCCUUCAUCCACCUGCUGGCCUCCACCACUUGCGUUACUGAAUCUGUGGAAGCCAUUAAGGAUCAAAUCAACUUCUGAAAAAUGUUCUGUUUUUUCUCCCUCUGCUUGCUUCUUACUGUCUUUGAGGCUCGGGACCAGCACUCCUGCUGUUGGACAGAAAGACAUCAACUUGAGAUAUGACUGCACUAUGCUGUUGCUGGUGACUCCAGUUAAUUCUACAAGACAUGCUGUGACACCAGGAGAGAUGAGUCCUCCGUCACAGAUGGUGUGGUCAGUGAAGAUGGUCGCCUGCAGGUUCAAGCUCAUUGCAUCUCCAACCCACAUCCACUGCCACUGUACUUAAGGGAAGUUAAAGACUUUCUUCUGCACCUACAUUUGGAUCACCUCGAUCCAUGACAGUCAUUCAGCAGUAAUGCCUGGACUGGAAACAAGCAUCCUUAAAACAUUACAACAUUCCAGCUCCUGUGUUGGAAUGAAAAACAAAUGUGUUGUUUAAAUCAGAGACUGCACUUGUGACAGAACAACAAAUAUUUUAUUUUGAUUAUAUAAGUAAGUACAAAACAAACUUGU